CCUCCCAAAGUGCUGGGAUUACAGGCGUGAGCCACCGCGCCCGGCCCCUGACUUUUUAAUGAUCGCCAUUCUAACUGGCAUGAGAUGGUAUCUCAUUGGGGAACAUCUUAAAAGAAAAGCAUAUAAUUGCCAUUUGCACUUCCUCACCUCUUUAUCCACUCUUCAGCCUACUGCAAAUUGACUUUUGACCUCUUUAAUCUACUGAAAUGGCUCAUGCAAAGAGACUUUUUAUAAAAAUCACAUAUAAUUUAGAUUUUUUAUUUUCUGCAUAAAUCUCUUUAAUUUUAUGUGAUAAUACAGUGCAUGAUUAUUUGUUGAGCCGUUAAUUUUGUAUUAGCCAAAGAGAAAGUUGAACCUGUCAGUUAAACUGGGUGGAAUAAGAAAUAAUAUUUUAAAAUUAGCAGUAAAUAGAAACUUGCACAAUAAAAAUAUUUUUGUGUCACUUGAAAUAUUACCAUUGGUUGCAAGUUUUAAAGAUGUAAAAGGUGUCUUCUUUCACGUUCACUUUUUUUUUCAGUAGAGAUACUGACUGCAGGCAGCUUGCCUCUUUUGUUUUUUUGGCUUAUAGUCACAGUAUUUGAGCACAAAUUUAAUGAAGCAUUGUUUAAUUGAGACUUCCCUGUAGUGACACAACAAUAUUGCAAAUUUUUUUCAUAGGCAUUUCCUCACUUAAUUCUCAAACAAGUUUUGUCUUUUUUUUUUCAUCACGAUAUCUGUAGACAGGAUCAAACAACUUUUGAAGGGUAUUUGAUUUCCCCCUAUUUACAGAUUUAAGAAACUGAAACUCAAAAGAGACAAAUUGCCACAUUCAUCCUGCCACAGGGUGUGUGUGUGUGUGUGUGUGUGUGUGUGUGUGUGUGUGUGUGUGUGUGUGUUUUCUGACUCUAAACGUAGAGCAGUUUCUACUAUGCCCCAGCCACUUGGAUGUAGUAUGUGUACAAAAGUGACAACACGAUAUAGUGAUUCUUCAAAGUAGGUUUAUUGUUCUAAUUGACAUUUUUCUUCAAACAUUAUAGGAUUAUACAUUUCCAACAAUUUUAAGCAAUUUUGAUGCUUAUCAAAAUGUUGUAUAUUUAAUAAGUUUUUGCAUUAAAUGAGUUUAGGUUGGCAAUAAGGAACCACCAUAUACUUUAAUAGAUACUAUUUCAUACCACAGUUGUGUUGUCUUUAAUACAGAGAUGAGUGUUUAAUACUCUUUUGCAAUGGGAAGAAGUUAAAGGAGUUUGAGUUAAAAUAGUGAGAGAAAUAAUUGAAUAUGAUUGUUACCUUAAAUAUAGCCACAGUCUGUUGAUUUAAGCUUCAGUUAGUCCUAACAUAUUCAACAUAUUCAUAACAAAAUUUUUUGGGCAUCUCUGGCUCAUUUAUUAAUACCUAUGAACCUGCAAAACACUGCUGUAUUUGUAAGACUGAUAUGUAUGGGAUAAUGUAUGCGAUAAGCAAAAAUCUUAGUUUUCUAGCUAGCUUUUGAAAUGAAAGUAAUGGAAACAUGACUACUCAGAUUUAAAAAAACCAGGCUUUACCUUUCGUAGUUCAAUUUAUAUUAGUACAAAUUCUUCUCAAAGGUGGUCUCCUUGAGAAGGUGCACAGGCUACUGGAAAUAGUGAAGACAGUAAUAAGAAGAAGAUUAACUGGCUUACUUACCAAGAAAAUGAAUUCAGGAAAUUUGAUUCUCGUAGAGAUCUAGAACAAGCAAACAGGAUGAACAACCACUUAUUUUGGAAUAGUGUAUUUAAAUUUGAGAAAGAGUGAUCUUUUCUUUCUCCGAAGGGUUAAGAAUGUGAUCAAAAGCCUGGAGCUGAAAGAAGGAUAAUAUGUAUGGGAGACAGUGAGGACACUUGCCUGACCAGAGCAGGUGAACACCUAUGUACAAUAAAGCUAGAUUGUAGUGGCUGCAGUGGGUGUUGAAAUACAUGUUGAAUGCAACAAAGAGGUAUUAAAAUUUCUUGAAUGUUAAUAGAUUGGCCUAAUCCUGGGUUUUAGGCAGAGCAUCCUACAACCUUAACAAAUGGUGAAUUUGGAAGCAACUAGACUCAGGGAGAUCAGCUAUACUGUUUUGUAGAAUUUUGAAUUUCAUAAGCCAAUAAAGCUCCUAGAAAAUUCUUAAGGACUAACAUAUGGUUAUCAAUUAUUUAUCUUGAAGGAAAGAAUAUUUUAAAAACCCCAACAACAAAAUAUAAACAGUAAAUUACCACAUACUAUCUUCACUGUUUCAUACAGGAAUGAAAUUUUAACAUCAAAUCAGCAGGAAGGACAUACUCCCAGAGUAAAGGACACAACACUAAGAUGAAUAAACUUGAUGUUCUUAGAGACCUACCACAUUGCCUCUGUUUUCUCACUUUCUCCUCUACCUGUAACUCUGUGAUAUAGCUGCACAGAUACUCAGAAUGAUAGCUGAGAUCCACUGAGCUAAGAGAAUACCGUAAUUACUCAGGCAUAACAUAAUGAAAACCUGGGAAAGAAGAAGAAAGAAUAAGAGAAGGAAGGGAGAGGAUGGAAGAAUGAUAGCCCAUGGCAACAGAUUGAAUAUAGAAAGUAAAAGAAGAAAGUGAAAGCUACCUGCAAAAAUUAUACUAUGAUCUCAUGUCGUUUUUUGUUUGUUUGUUUUGUUUUGUUUUGUUUUUUGAGACGGAGUCUCGCUCUGUCUCUCAGGCUGGAGUGCAGUGGCGUAAUCUCGGCUCACUUCAAGCUCCACCUCCCAGGUUCAUGCCAUUCUCCUGCCUCAGCCUCCCGAGUAGCUGGGACUACAGGCGCCCGCCACCACGCCUGGCUAAUUUUUUGUAUUUUUAGUAGAGAUGGGUUUUCACUGUGUCAGCCAGGAUGCUUGUAUUGUUUUUAAUAGUCAGUAUUGCACGUAACACUGCCCUAAUUCAUCUCUUAACAGAGUCUGUGGGUUGUCAUAUCAAUUGAUUGAUGUCUUGCUGUCUUCUUUUUCAGGACCAGAAACCAGAAAUGCAAUUUGCCAAGCAUAUGAAGAAUAUGUUUUUACUGGUUUUUGAUAACUUAAAAUACUUCUUCAUCUAAAACCAGGCUGAUCUUGAGAAAGAUUUUAAAGGAGAUUAGAAAAUUCACUUUAACAAACCACUAUCAUAUAGUCACAUCAAUCUUUCGUAGAUAUUUUUGCAAACAAUUACCAGAAUUCUUAGAGUUUAUUACAGAUAUUUUGUUCUUGACCUUUGACACUUGCCAUUUAGCAAUUGCAUGGUUUUACUUUUGUGGUUGUAGAGUUUCUGUUUUUCUUUCAUUAGAAUGAUGUAAGUAGAGGAAUAGAAACUGUUAUAUUUGCAAAAAAAGAGCAAAGAUGCUUUGUGACCUUGGGAAUUAUAUUUGAAGGUUACUCACAAGAGAAUACCUUGUUUAGGAAAGAUGGUUAAUUUUUUUCUUGCAAGCAGACUUUUUUACAAAAUUAGUUAAUGGCAAAUGUGUUCUUUGCUGAAUAUUAAUCUAUAGUAUCAUUUAAGAUGUUCUUAAUUUAUGUUUCUGGACUUUGUUUAAAUGUCAAACUCUAGAAAGGGUAAACUAGCUCACCCCACUGCUAGGUAAUAGCUAGUAUUGUCUUCGCUGCAGGGCAUUUUACAGUAAAAUUUUGAAGUAUAUUGAAAAAAGUUACCAGUUCACUUACUAUACAAUAGCUUGGAAUGUGAAUGUCUGAAAGAAGAAAAAUUCAAUAAAUGACUAUGUAGUUAUUUGGUGGAAUUCACAACAUAAUAACAAGAAAAGGUUUUCAGCUUUGAUCAUAAUGGAAAUGAGUCAUUUAAUUUUACCCUCAGUCCUGGUACACAGUUUCAGCACCUGCUAAGAAGUCGGCUUGCAUUUAAAUGACUUAGGCAAUUAUUAAAAGCAAGUUUCAAGAAAUAAAUGGCAUUUAUAUAAAAAGGAGACUGGGCUCAAACUGCUAGUGCUUUAAAUUUCCAUAAAAGCAAAUUCAAGUUCAGAACAGGAUUCAGGAUUUAGUAACAAUUCAAAGGUUUUCAAUCCCUUAAUCUCUUUGUGAUAACUAUAUUCAUCAUGUAGCCAUUUUUAAAAGGAAGAGAAUAAAAAUGUUAACAUUGAUGUCUACCAGCACUUGUGACUGAAAAAUUGAUUAUAUAUGGUAAAUACUUAUGGCUCCAAAUAGCUAUUUGAUUUAUAAUUUUGGUAUUGAAAUGUAAUGAAAUACUUCUAUUGUAUUUGCAAUCGCUGGAAGAGUAGUAUGAAUCAUACUUCAAAUAAAAAUGCUUCUUUUUAUCAUUUUUCCCAAAUGUUUUGAGUGUAAGAAUGCUGUUUCCUUUUCUCUCAGGUCUACAUAUCUUUACUCAUCAUCUCAAAGGUGAUUAUUUUGUAACUUGACCUUAGUCUUGCAAAGGAGCUCUAUUUAGAGAUUUAAAUAUAGUAUUAACUUAGAAAAUAAAUUUCAACUAUUCAUACUGUUUUACCUAGAGUUAUUACAUUAUUAAGAGUAAAUAUCUUAUUAAACUCAAUAGGGAGCCACAAAAUAGAUAAGAUUUCUAAAGGAGGUAACUGAGUGUAUAUAAAAUAACUGAUGAAAAAUAAAAGUUAAGAAAAUGGGGCAGCUAAAUCAUCUGUCAACAGUAUUUAUAUUGAAAAGACAUUGUAAAUAUUAACUUCAGUUUUUCUAGCUUGCCAUAUGGAAUUGCUAUAAUUGGAAGACAAAACAAAAUGUGGGAAGUACCUGACAUUUCACUUAAAUUUAUUUAAACAAAGUUUGUAUAUGUUCUGAGCCACCUACUAUUUUUGAGGCACUAUUCUAAGUGCUUAUAUUUCUUAGCUCACUUAAUCUUCACAAUAUCAUGAGGUGGAAACUUUUGUUUUUGACCAUUUUACAGAUAAGGAAACUCAAACAAGUACAAUCUAGACCUCCAAAUGGACACGUGCUGCUUAGUAGCUAUGUGGCCUCUGUUCUGAGUCCUGUGACCAUUUCAGAGUUAUAGUUCAUAAUUCCUUCUCAUGUCCUGUAGUCCUGUCACCAAGUGCUAUAAUUUCAUCAUUUCCUUGGAUUGUUCUUUCUUGUUUUUGCCUGGGUUAUCUCCAUUUAUGCCUGAAUGACCAUAUAUCAUAGUCUCUUAGUUUAGUGAAUUUCAGGCAUCAGUCUGAGGACUUGAGUUGAUUUGUGAAGAAAUUUCAGCAUCUGCUCUCUUAACCUAGUGAUUGACUUCCGGGUUUCAAAAAAUGGUUCCUACACAACAGCUAUUAUUAUAGAUUGCUGUAGGAACUACUCUUUGCAGCCAUUUAUUAGCACUCGCAGGGCCACUUUCUAAUCUUCUGAAGGCUCUUUCUGCAUCCAUGCUCGUUCUCUCUAUUUUGCUCUCAUUAUACAGCUGCCAGAACCGUUAUUUUAGAAUGUGAUAUAGUUUGGUUCUUUGUCCCCAUCCAAAUCUUAUGUUGAAUUGUAAUCCCCAGUGCGGGAGGUGGGGUCUGGUGGGAGGUGUUUGGGUCCUGGGAGCAGACCCUUCAUGGCUUGGUGCUGUCUCCAUAACAGUGACUGAGUUCUUGCAAGAAAAAAUACUUCUGUAAGGACAUCUGCCCAGCAACUGCUGGUUCAACUGCCUGGGCUACUGUCACCCUUGUUAUUGAUCCUCGUAGCCAAAGAAAAUUAUCUCAAAACAAUUGUGUAAUCCCCUCAUUUUUCCUUUAAAAAAUUAUUUUAUCUCUGUCAGUAUACACAUAGUUUACUAUGACAUUCAUAUUCCCUUAGCAAUGUCCUAUUCCUGAAUGAAUAUAAUUUUAUUUUAGAGAGACUCUCUUGGUUUGUAGCAAUAAUUUUUCAAUAUAUGAGAUUUAUCUCGAUAUUGUAUGGUUAAUAGUGUUAGUUGCUGUUACUCUGUUCUAAAAAGUGAGGCUAAAUUGUAGCAAAAUGAUAUACCUUUUGUUUUGCAGAAAUCUCCCAAAGAAAAGCCAUAGUUCAGGUUAAAGCAGUUAAGCCUAUGGCAUUUCCUUUAGCAAAAUCGCAAUAAAAGAUAAACUAGGUAGUUAAAUAAUCCUAAGGGUUAGAUUACACGAGCAGUCCAACUUGUUUCAAGUAAGCAUUGAAUACAUUCUUAUUGAGUAAAUAAUCUGUUUCCCAUUUGUAACUUUCUUCAGACUUACCCUCUAUAAUGACUCUUCAGUGAACAACUUUUUGCUAGAAUGACUCUGGCAAAAUGCUAAUAUUUUGGACAAUGACUUGAAAAAUUGUCUAACAACCUUUCCACCAAAAAACAUAAUAUAAAAAUGGGCAUUUCAACAUUGUGAUUUCAGGCAAUGACACAUUUGACAAUUUACUUGACAUAACAAUUUUUAGUCAGAUCCAAAUAUAUGCAUCGCAUUUGAAUUGCCUUCCAUGUAUGGAUGAAUCCAAAGCAUUUUGCUCUCUGUACAUACCCUAAAGUACUUCUGCCUGCUAUUCUCUUCAUCUCUAAGCAAGAGAUGAAGAUGCAGUAUCUUCUGGGAGUCUUCUGUCUGUUAUGCCUCUAUAUACUUAAUCUGUAUUUUACCCAAAGGUGUUUUUCUGGGAUAAUUUUACUUUAAGUGCAAAAUAAUCAUGAGCCCCCCAAGUUUGAAAUAUUAGUGAAAAAAAUGUUUCAGAAAUAAGGAAAAUAAAGGAAGUACAACAUUGCCAUUUAUAUAUAAGCUGU
rnacentral:lncRNA from 1 species